GACGAACGCUGGCGGCGUGCCUAAUACAUGCAAGUCGAGCGAAGCGGCGGAUGGGUGAGUAACGCGUGGGUAACCUGCCAUUAAGUCUGGGAUACCAUGUGGAAACAGAUGCUAAUACCGGAUACUAAAGGAUGGACAUGCGAUGCAUUAGCUAGUUGGUAAGGUAACGGCUUACCAAGGCGGUGAUGCAUGGCCGAGUUGAGGGGAUGACCAGCCACACUGGAACUGAGACACGGUCCAGACUCCUACGGGAGGCAGCAGUGGGGAAUAUUGGACAAUGGGCGCAAGCCUGAUGCAGCCAUGCCGCGUGUAUGAAGAAGGCCUUCGGGUUGUAAAGUACUUUCAGCGAGGAGGCGUUACUCGCAGAAGAAGCACCGGCUAACUCCGUGCCAGCAGCCGCGGUAAUUC
rnacentral:rRNA from 1 species